rnacentral:rRNA from 1 species
UACGUAGGGUGCAGGCGUUAAUCGGAAUUACUGGGCGUAAAGCGUGCGCAGGCGGUUUGCUAAGACAGGUGUGAAAUCCCCGGGCUUAACCUGGGAACUGCGCUUGUUACUGGCAGGCUUGAGUGUGGCAGAGGGAGGUGGAAUUCCACGUGUAGCAGUGAAAUGCGUAGAGAUGUGGAGGAACACCGAUGGCGAAGGCAGCCUCCUGGGCCAGCACUGACGCUCAUGCACGAAAGCGUGGGGAGCAAACAGG